UACGUAGGGGGCGAGCGUUGUCCGGAAUAAUUGGGCGUAAAGGGCGCGUAGGCGGCCAGACAAGUCAGUAGUGGAAGCCCCAUUUUUAAGGUGGGGAGGGCUAUUGAAACUGUAGGGCUUGAGUGCAGGAGAGGUUAUCGGAAUUCCCGGUGUAGCGGUGAAAUGCGUAGAGAUCGGGAGGAACACCAGUGGCGAAGGCGGGUAACUGGACUGCAACUGACGCUGAGGCGCGAAAGUGUGGGGAGCAAACAGG
rnacentral:rRNA from 1 species